GACGAACGCUGGCGGCGUGCCUAAUACAUGCAAGUCGAACGCAUUUUCUUUCACCGUAGCUUGCUACACCGAAAGAAAAUGAGUGGCGAACGGGUGAGUAACACGUGGGUAACCUGCCCAUCAGCGGGGGAUAACUCCGGGAAACCGGGCUAAUACCGGAUAACACCUCGGAUCGCAUGAUCCGAAGUUGAAAGAUGGUUCUGCUAUCACUUACAGAUGGACCCGCGGCGCAUUAGCUAGCUGGUGAGGUAGUGGCUCACCAAGGCGACGAUGCGUAGCCGACCUGAGAGGGUGAUCGGCCACACUGGGACUGAGACACGGCCCAG
rnacentral:rRNA from 1 species